GCAUAUCUUGAAGUUAAUUCUUCAAUAGGAAGGUUGUAUUGUAGAUCAUGUGAGUAGAGAGUAGCUAAUAGGACAGCAAACUGGCUAGUCCAAGAUCAUAAAUAAUUUAUCCAUAGGCAUGCUUUAGUUUAGGAUUCUCUUAAACAAGACCUAUAAUAGCAGGACAAAUAUGUUACAAUUUCCCCACAUUCACGGUCAGCACCUUGAUUGUCGUCUCUUUUUUUUUUCCUA
rnacentral:misc_RNA from 1 species